AUGCACGCUGGCGGCGUGCCUAAUACAUGCAAGUCGAGCGAACGGACGAGAAGCUUGCUUCUCUGAUGUUAGCGGCGGACGGGUGAGUAACACGUGGAUAACCUACCUAUAAGACUGGGAUAACUUCGGGAAACCGUAGCUAAUACCGGAUAAUAUUUUGAACCGCAUGGUUCAAAAGUGAAAGACGGUCUUGCUGUCACUUAUAGAUGGAUCCGCGCUGCAUUAGCUAGUUGGUAAGGUAACGGCUUACCAAGGCAACGAUGCAUAGCCGACCUGAGAGGGUGAUCGGCCACACUGGAACUGAGACACGGUCCAGACUCCUACGGGAGGCAGCAGUAGGGAAUCUUCCGCAAUGGGCGAAAGCCUGACGGAGCAACGCCGCGUGAGUGAUGAAGGUCUUCGGAUCGUAAAACUCUGUUAUUAGUGAAGAACAUAUGUGUAAGUAACUGUGCACAUCUUGACGGUACCUAAUCAGAAAGCCACGGCUAACUACGCG
rnacentral:rRNA from 1 species